rnacentral:rRNA from 1 species
CACGUAGGGUGCGAGCGUUGUCCGGAAUUAUUGGGCGUAAAGAGCCCGUAGGCGGUUUGUCGCGUCUGCUGUGAAAACUCGGGGCUUAACCCCGGGCCUGCAGUGGGUACGGGCAGACUAGAGUGCGGUAGGGGAGACUGGAAUUCCUGGUGUAGCGGUGAAAUGCGCAGAUAUCAGGAGGAACACCGGUGGCGAAGGCGGGUCUCUGGGCCGUAACUGACGCUGAGGAGCGAAAGCGUGGGGAGCGAACAGG